GUGGGAAAUGCAGAGGCUGCACAUUAAGCUGUUACGAAUAACUGCUGUUGGGAUGGAAUGAAAUGGAAACAAAUCUGCAUUUUAUUUGCACUCUCUCUGCAAUUCCAUGCCAUCCAGACUGCAGUUACGUUCUGUGCACAGCAACACCGCCAAAAAGGGCAACAACUCUGUGAGCACAUUGUCUUGUAAGGAGAGAGGAACCGUGCACACUACCCAAAACAACCAGUAAAAUAAAGAGGAGUCACUCAGCCAUGAAAUAUGACCUGUUCCACCUUGGGACGGAGUUUUACUGUUGUUACCCAAGCUGGAGUGCAAUGGCACAAUCUCGGCUCACCGCAACCUCCGCCUUCUGGGUUCAAGCAAUUCUCCUGCCUCAGCCUCCCGAGUAGCUGGGACUACAGGAUGAAAUAA
rnacentral:lncRNA from 13 species